UACGAAGGGGGCUAGCGUUGCUCGGAAUCACUGGGCGUAAAGCGCACGUAGGCGGCUUUUUAAGUCAGAGGUGAAAUCCUGGAGCUCAACUCCAGAACUGCCUUUGAUACUGGAGAGCUCGAGUCCGGGAGAGGUGAGUGGAACUGCGAGUGUAGAGGUGAAAUUCGUAGAUAUUCGCAAGAACACCAGUGGCGAAGGCGGACUCACUGGCCCGGUACUGACGCUGACGGUGCGAAAGCG
rnacentral:rRNA from 1 species